UACGUAGGGUGCAAGCGUUAUCCGGAAUUAUUGGGCGUAAAGAGCUCGUAGGUGGCCUGUCGCGUCGGCUGUGAAAACUCGGGGCUCAACUCCGAGCUUGCAGUCGAUACGGGCAGGCUAGAGUUCGGCAGGGGAGACUGGAAUUCCUGGUGUAGCGGUGAAAUGCGCAGAUAUCAGGAGGAACACCGAUGGCGAAGGCAGGUCACUGGGCCGCAACUGACGCUGAGGAGCGAAAGCAUGGGGAGCGAACAGG
rnacentral:rRNA from 1 species